CAAGGUAGAGCAUGAAAUAUGCAUGUCACUUACAAUGACACGAUAGACUCCGGUCUUAUCUUGA
rnacentral:tRNA from 1 species